UACAGGGGGUGCAAACGUUGCUCGGAAUUAUUGGGCGUAAAGCGCGCGUAGGCGGCCAACUAAGUCAGACGUGAAAUCCCUCAGCUUAACUGGGGAACUGCGUCUGAUACUGGAUGGCUUGGAUUCGGGAGAGGAAUGCGGAAUUCCAGGUGUAGCGGUGAAAUGCGUAGAGAUCCGGAAGAACACCGGAGGCGAAGGCGGCUUGCUGGGCUUGGUCUGACGCUGAGGCGCGAAAGCGUGGGGAGCGAACAGG
rnacentral:rRNA from 1 species